CUUCUGUUUAACAUCCAGUAAACGGCUUCGGAAUUAUUCACUUGCCUCUUUUGAUUUGGAUAUUGAAGCUUUCUUUUUGUGUGAACAUGAUUUUAGUGAAAUUUAUUGCUGCUCUUUUAAUUACUGAAGUCGUCAGAGCUCAAGAGUUGGCUUCGUUUGGACAGUUUCCUUCCCACGUAUUUGUCUACGUACAUAACG